rnacentral:tRNA from 1 species
AGGCCUGUAGGCUAGUGGUAAACCGGGGGACUCCAAAUCCCCAUUCGAGGGUUCGAUUCCUUCCAGGCCUGCCA